rnacentral:rRNA from 1 species
CUUGAGAAACCCAAAAGAUCGAAWGGAGAGAUUCAUCGUCAGCUCAUAUUGUAUAUGUAUAAUUUAUGAUACGAGUUACCUUUGGUUGUAUUGCUUGUACAUAUUUGUACAUUUAUUUGCAAUUUGUUGUCGGCGUGCACUUCUCUCCUAGUAGAACAUCGCGACCCGUUGAGUGUUGGUUUACGACCUAAAUGGUAGUCUUUAGUAUUUAAUAAUAUUAAAGACCAUUAUAGUGUUAUCUGACCGGCUGUUCAGCGGUACUCGUACGGUAUUUAGCCGCAUUUUUAUAUGCGUCCAUAUCCGUCGCAAGCGCGGCUAGUAUCAUGGUAGUACGGACUUAGUGCCGUCSCUAGUACUGGCCAGCUGUUGGUUGUAACGGUAUUCUAGGACUGGCUAAAAAUAAAAAAAUUAUUACCGGUCGGCGAUGCUACUGSUUUGGGUACUUUCAGGAMCCSUCUUGAAACACGGACCAAGGARUCUAACAUGUACSCSAGUCAUUGGGAUUUAUUUAAAAAUUAAACCUAAAGGCGUAAUGAAAGUAAAGGUUGUCUUUACSUCSACCAAGGGAGGAUAAAUUAUAUUAUGAUAUAAUUUCGCACUCCUGGGGCGUCUCAUUCUCAUUGUGAGAAGAGGCGCACCUAG